rnacentral:rRNA from 1 species
UUGAACGCUGGCGGCAGGCCUAAUACAUGCAAGUCGCGCGGAUGAAGGGAGCUUGCUCCUGGAUUCAGCGGCGGACGGGUGAGUAAUGCCUAGGAAUCUGCCUGGUAGUGGGGGAUAACGUCCGGAAACGGGCGCUAAUACCGCAUACGUCCUGAGGGAGAAAGUGGGGGAUCUUCGGACCUCACGCUAUCAGAUGAGCCUAGGUCGGAUUAGCUAGUUGGUGGGGUAAAGGCCUACCAAGGCGACGAUCCGUAACUGGUCUGAGAGGAUGAUCAGUCACACUGGAACUGAGACACGGUCCAGACUCCUACGGGAGGCAGCAGUGGGGAAUAUUGGACAAUGGGCGAAAGCCUGAUCCAGCCAUGCCGCGUGUGUGAAGAAGGUCUUCGGAUUGUAAAGCACUUUAAGUUGGGAGGAAGGGCAGUAAGUUAAUACCUUGCUGUUUUGACGUUACCAACAGAAUAAGCACCGGCUAACUUCGUG